GAUGAACGCUGGCGGCGUGCCUAAUACAUGCAAGUCGAGCGAACGGACGAGAAGCUUGCUUCUCUGAUGUUAGCGGCGGACGGGUGAGUAACACGUGGAUAACCUACCUAUAAGACUGGGAUAACUUCGGGAAACCGGAGCUAAUACCGGAUGAUAUUUUGAACCGCAUGGUUCAAAAGUGAAAGACGGUCUUGCUGUCACUUAUAGAUGGAUCCGCGCUGCAUUACAUAGUUGGUAAGGUAACGGCUUACCAAGGCAACGAUGCAUAGCCGACCUGAGAGGGUGAUCGGCCACACUGGAACUGAGACACGGUCCAGACUCCUACGGGAGGCAGCAGUAGGGAAUCUUCCGCAAUGGGCGAAAGCCUGACGGAGCAACGCCGCGUGAGUGAUGAAGGUCUUCGGAUCGUAAAACUCUGUUAUUAGGGAAGAACAUAUGUGUAAGUAACUGUGCACAUCUUGACGGUACCUAAUCAGAAAGCCACGGCUAACUACGUG
rnacentral:rRNA from 1 species